UAAGGAAUAUUGCUCAAUGGGAGAAAUCCUGAAGCAGCAACGCCGCGUGGAGGAUGAAGGGUCUAUGACUUGUAAACUCCUGUAAAGAAGGAAAAAAUUCCCAUUUGAUGGGAGAUGAUGGUACUUCUGGAGUAAGCCCCGGCUAACUACGUGCCAGCAGCCGCGGUAAUACGUAGGGGGCAAGCGUUGUCCGGAUUUACUGGGUGUAAAGGGUGCUCAGGCGGAUUUGUAAGUCAGAGGUGAAAUCUUACAGCUUAACUGUGAAACUGCCUUUGAUACUGCAAGCCUAGAGUAUGGAAGAGAGUGAUGGAAUAUCUGGUGUAGCAGUGAAAUGCGUAGAUAUCAGAUAGAACACCAAUGGCGAAGGCAGUCACUUGGUCCAUUACUGACGCUAAAGCACGAAAGCGUGG
rnacentral:rRNA from 1 species